ACAUGAGUGCCAGAUUAUAUGGGUUGGUUUUAAGCGUCAAAUAUGGGGUUUGCCCCUCGUGUGUU
rnacentral:tRNA from 1 species